AUCCAACUUACGAGUCUAAAAUAGGAUGAAAUACACAUCCUGGAU
rnacentral:hammerhead_ribozyme from 1 species